rnacentral:rRNA from 1 species
AUUGAACGCUGGCGGCAUGCCUUACACAUGCAAGUCGAACGGUAACAGGUCUUCGGAUGCUGACGAGUGGCGAACGGGUGAGUAAUACAUCGGAACGUGCCCGAUCGUGGGGGAUAACGAAGCGAAAGCUUUGCUAAUACCGCAUAAGAUCUACGGAUGAAAGCAGGGGACCGCAAGGCCUUGCGCGGACGGAGCGGCCGAUGGCAGAUUAGGUAGUUGGUGGGAUAAAAGCUUACCAAGACGACGAUCUGUAGCUGGUCUGAGAGGACGACCAGCCACACUGGGACUGAGACACGGCCCAGACUCCUACGGGAGGCAGCAGUGGGGAAUUUUGGACAAUGGGCGAAAGCCUGAUCCAGCCAUGCCGCGUGCAGGAUGAAGGCCUUCGGGUUGUAAACUGCUUUUAUACGGAACGAAAAGACUCUGGUUAAUACCUGGGGUCCAUGACGGUACCGUAAGAAUAAGCACCGGCUAACUACGUG